GUAGACGCGGACCACGUCAUCGGGGUCAGGGUCGACGGAGACAAUCCCCCUCCUCUCCUCUCUUGAGCUGCCGCCGGUGCUUUCCACCGAGACGGCGUCGUGUCGUGCCAUGCCUCCACCAUCUCUCUAGGCAGUUGCCUGGCUGUAGCAGUUUGGCCGGAUGGAUGACAAGCAGCAGCGCAAGACGCUGGCCAACAACACAACAGUCAGCCCUCCUCUGCCUAUUCUCUUUGCAAGGAUCUACAGAUCUAUUUUUACUGCUGUAUGGAAAGUGUUUGAUGAAAUUCCUAGAUAAAAUUAAUGUAUGCAAGGAAUCGGUCAUUGGUAACAUCUCAUAGGUGGAUUUGGAUCUUGGAAACUAAACGAUGAAACAAUUUAGCCAAUGCUGCAAUACUCGGAUUUCUAAAUGUCAUGUAGAGGAUGAGUGCCAGUGCUACAAUUAUCCUUGCUGGUUGCUUUGGCAUCCUAUUCAGAUCGACAACAUCCAUUGCUUUGUUGUUGUUUGAUAUUGAACAUUUUGUGUUCUCACGCAGGUGUUGCUGUGCUUGUGGCCGGGUUGCUCUCGGUGGUGAUUCCUGAUGUUCGAUACAAAAAAAAAGUCAAGUUUUGCUCUUAGUCCACCGCCAUCCCUUCCCUGAAUCUUUUUCCUCAUGACAAAAUUGAUUCAGUUUCUUGCAUAUCUAAAAAUUGUACCUGAAUAUUUCCAGGUUGUGUUUCAGGCAUUGAUUCGUUGCGGAAGAUUUACUUUUACACAUGCUGAUAAUGGUGGCGCUACGAUGAGGAUCCGAGGUUCCACUCUCUCAGUUAAGAUCCACUUUUUGUAUUGAAUUUGUAUGGAAUUACUCCAAAUUAGUGUGUGCAAAAGAAAUAUCAUCGCUAAUUAGUUUUACACUAGAAAAACAAUGCGCCAGUAUAUGAACUUUUCAGUCUUAUGUAUCCACAAAUUAGUGGCUUCUAAAAAAAACUAAUAGCAUACAUCGACUCCUCGUCUGAUCCAGGUAUGACGUUGAUUUGCCGUUCUCCCAGGUUUCUCUCUCUGAUCAGUGAUUGUCAUUAAUUCAAAUAAGAUCAUCUGUGUGGGGUAUCCUGGAUCAGAGUAGCAGACAUGGAGAUGCCUGCCUGUUCUAUACGUUUGUUUUCAUGCCUUUCUUUGUUUUUUUAGUUUACCUCUAUGUUUUCCUGCUCGCUGAGUCAAGUGGCUCUUUUUUGGUUCGUUAUUCCUGCUUGUUCUUUGCUACACUUGAAUAUUUCAUAUACCUUUCCACUAAUCUCUUGCACUAACCUUCUUUAUUAACUUCAGGCAAGAAAAUGGAUGCAUUUCUUGAACUGGUGAUAAUUACACUUGAAGAAUCAAGGCAUGACAAAGAGUAAUGAAUAUUUCUUCCAAGCUUAACUAUUACCAUGCAUAUGGAUGACCUGCUACAAAUAUUCUCUGUUUGGUGUCAAGACUAAUUCUUUACUAUUUAAUGGCCAUGGCGUUCACAUGGGUACUGUGAUGCUACAUAGAUUACCUCUUAUGUGUUUCUAUCGAACAUUAGACCAACCUUGAUGAAACAUAGUUAUCAUGUUUGAUGGGAAACAUAUAUAAGAAACUAAAAUAGUUUGCUCUCUUAAUCAAUUUCUUGCUUGGGGUUGAAGAGCCUGCAGAUGGCAUAAAACACUAAGAAUUUCGUUGCGAUGGACAUAUUUUGAACCCGCACAUCGUGCAACACUGCAUGGAUCAACUCUUGGAUUAUGCUAUGUAUUACCUCGAGCAUUUUCAGAGGUGACAAAUCUUGCAUGCAACCAUCCUUUUUCUUCUGGUAUGAUCAAAACUAUAUAAAAACCAUGAGUAAUUGACUGAAAUUGUGUGUGUUUCUGAUCAUGCUAGAUAUUUCUUAUGAGAGCUUCAGUAAAAUCCUUCACUUAUUGUAAAUUUGGCAAGAUGCAUUGUUUAUUUACUGAGAAGUUGUCUCUUAUAGAUGAUUAUUCGUAGCUUGCUGGAAUAGACUUCUUCAGGUGACACCAAUGUCAAUUGAUUUAAAUUUUGCUCAUAUUUAUUCUGACACUUCAUCAGUUGUUUGUUCUAAUUCCAUGUCAGAUAUAGCUGAGAAGCUACAUCAGAUGAUUUCUUUACUUCACUAAAGAUAUUGGUUUCUCCCCCUCACUUAAUUUAUCUACCGGAAGCUCUUAUCCACUUCGCUGACGAUACAAGCCACUUGAGGUUUGCAUGGACAGAUGCAUGCUACAAUAUCUUCACUCUAGGUGUGAUUGGAAUACAUGAUCUUUGAGUUUGGUUUCUCUGAAGAACUACAACCUGCCCUUCCUGUUUUAAUUGUCAUGACCAUCUAUAUGAAUUAAAGCUGGACAUGCUCUUGCUGAGUUACUUCUUGGGCCAGUUUGAUUUUUUCAUUACGUUUUGUCAGAUUCCUUUUAUCGCAUCUUUCGUUUGUAUUUGUCCAAACUAUCAGAGAACUUGGAGUUGAGACUAAGAAUCUAUUUUUAUCCUCUUUUGUCAUAUAUAUCUUGCAGAAUGUUCAGCAGGUUAUGUGCUAUUUUUUCCUCUGGUAAACAGAACUUCCUCUACGUAGGAAGUAUAUAAUGAGUUUGAUUGUGUGUUGAUAUUGAGUGCUCGCAAGAAAUUGAAAUAGGCUACAGAUUAGUUUACUUUGGUAAUCUAUGUUCAGUACCAUUUUCCAAAUAUAUGUUUCAGUUAUCCUGCAAAAAAGACUUCAGUUGAGUUGAAUCCAGUUACAGGACUGAACAAUUAGGGAUUUGUACAUACAUAUUUCGUUGUGAUCUGUGGCACAAUUUUUGUUCAUGUGCCUUACUAGCUAUAGUCUGUAGUAUGACACUUAUCAUUGGUAUUGGUUCUACGCUACAGCUUAUUUUACGACUUUUGCAUAGUUGUCAACAUGUUUAUACUAAAUCUUUUAGCUAGCUCCUAAUAUUUCACUAUUCUAUUCUUUUGUAGUACACUUGUGCAGUACAUGGUAAGAAGCUUUUGGAAUAGGGUGUUCACUAGGGAGUUGGCAAUGGCAAGUCUGCAAAUAUGUCCUAACAAGUUGGUUGUGGAUGAACUUCUUGGGCCAGUGUCUCCAAUUCUUUCAACUCCUUAGGCAGACGGUAGACGUUCUUAUUAUUCCAGAAUCGGGCAAAUGGGAUUCAGACACAUUCUUGGCUCCUGGCAUGGCUCAUGCAGAUACCUCUUUGUUAAUCUGACUGAUGAUUUUACUACAUGGCAACGUACUAAACGUGGCGUUUAUUCAGUCAAGUCAGCCUAAAGCUGACACGAGCUAAUUGCCUAAAUUUUGGUAUCUGAACUUCCUAUAAACAGUGUGAAAAUAGAGAUGACCAUGCUUUGUAAUCUCAAGUAUCAUGUCUACUAUGACAUAGUUGGCAGACUUUAUCUUCAGAUCAUUUGCUAUGCUAUCUCAUGUACUUUGAGAGAGAAUGGUUUCACAAGAUUUUAGUCUGUAGUAUAUUCAACCUGUCUGCACAUUUUCCAGAAACAGCUGUUGUAGGCCAAGAACUGCCUGGAGUUGUCCACCUGUUGCUGUGGCUCCUGUUUGGCUUACUCAAUUUUGAUGGAAGGAAGGUAAGUUCUUCAGCCUGAGGGCACCCGUGUUGAUACAUAUCUGAACUUUCACUCUAAUACAUGGUAAUUUUGCUCAAAUGCUCUAAUUGCCUGAACAUGUGUUAAUCCUUUCGGUGUUUGGCCCUGUCAAGUAAUAUAUAACUGCUGGUCAUAGUUGAUUUUCUUUCAUAACACUAAAUUUGU